UACGUAGGGUGCGAGCGUUAAUCGGAAUUACUGGGCGUAAAGCGUGCGCAGGCGGUUUUGUAAGCCAGAUGUGAAAGCCCCGGGCUCAACCUGGGAAUGGCAUUUGGGACUGCAAGGCUUGAGUGCGGCAGAGGAGACUGGAAUUCCUGGUGUAGCAGUGAAAUGCGUAGAUAUCAGGAGGAAUACCGAUGGCGAAGGCAGGUCUCUGGGCUAUAACUGACGCUCAUGCACGAAAGCGUGGGGAGCAAACAGG
rnacentral:rRNA from 1 species